CUGAACGCUGGCGGCAUGCCUUACACCUGCCAGUCGAACGGCAGCGCGGACUUCGGUCUGGCGGCGAGUGGCGAACGGGUGAGUAAUACAUCGGAACGUACCCUGUUGUGGGGGAUAACUAGUCGAAAGAUUAGCUAAUACCGCAUACGACCUGAGGGUGAAAGUGGGGGACCGCAAGGCCUCACGCAGCAGGAGCGGCCGAUGUCUGAUUAGCUAGUUGGUGGGGUAAAGGCCCACCAAGGCGACGAUCAGUAGCUGGUCUGAGAGGACGAUCAGCCACACUGGGACUGAGACACGGCCCAGACUCCUACGGGAGGCAGCAGUGGGGAAUUUUGGACAAUGGGGGCAACCCUGAUCCAGCAAUGCCGCGUGUGUGAAGAAGGCCUUCGGGUUGUAAAGCACUUUUGUCCGGAAAGAAAUCGCGCUGGUUAAUACCUGGCGUGGAUGACGGUACCGGAAGAAUAAGCACCGGCUAACUACGUG
rnacentral:rRNA from 1 species